rnacentral:rRNA from 1 species
GAUGAACGCUAGCGGGAGGCUUAACACAUGCAAGUCGAGGGGCAUCACGAGGUAGCAAUACUUUGGUGGCGACCGGCGCACGGGUGAGUAACACGUAUGCAACCUUCCCUGUACAGGGGGAUAACCCGGAGAAAUUCGGACUAAUACCCCAUGAUGAUAUUUAUGGGCAUCCAUUGAUAUUUAAAGCUCUGGCGGUACAGGAUGGGCAUGCGCGACAUUAGCUAGUUGGUAAGGUAACGGCUUACCAAGGCUACGAUGUUUAGGGGACCUGAGAGGGUUGUCCCCCACACUGGUACUGAGACACGGACCAGACUCCUACGGGAGGCAGCAGUGAGGAAUAUUGGUCAAUGGGCGCAAGCCUGAACCAGCCAUCCCGCGUGAAGGAAGAAUGCGCUACGCGUUGUAAACUUCUUUUCCAGGGGGAGAAUAAUCCUGUCGUGACAGGACUUGACGGUACUCUGGGAAUAAGCAUCGGCUAACUCCGUGCCAGCAGCCGCGGU